GACGAACGCUGGCGGCGUGCUUAACACAUGCAAGUCGAACGGAAAGGCCUGCUUUCCCUUGUGGAUUGCGGGUACUCGAGUGGCGAACGGGUGAGUAACACGUGAGUGAUCUGCCCCCAACUUGGGUAUAAGCCUGGGAAACUGGGUCUAAUUCCCGAUAGGACUUCAGGGUGGUGCCUGUGGUGGAAAACGAUUUUAUAGUGGUUGGGGUUGAGUUCGCGGCCUAUCAGCUUGUUGGUGGGGUAAUGGCCUACCAAGGCUGCGACGGGUUGCCCGCCUGUGAGGAGGGACAGCCACAUUGGGACUGGGAUACGGCUCAGACUCGUACGGGAGGCAGGAGUGGGUAGUAUAGCACAAUGGGCGUAAUCCAGAUGCGGCGACGCCGCGUGGAGGAUGACGGCCUUCGGGUGGUAAACUCCUUUCGACCGCGAGGAAGCCACCUGUUUGGAAGGGUGGUGACGUUAGUAGUAGAAGAAGCGCCGGCUAACUACGUG
rnacentral:rRNA from 1 species